GUCUCUUUGAUUAUUAUUAUAUAAAGAGUCGGGCCUGCCCGGUGAGUAAUAUUAAACGGCCGCAGUAUUUUGACUGUGCGAAGGUAGCAUAAUCACAUGCCUUAUAAUUGAAGGCCUGUAUGAAGGGUUUGAACAAAAGCAUGACUGUCUCUUAUAGACUUUGUAGAAUUUAGUUUUUAAGUGAAGAAACUUAAAUUUAAUUGAUAGACAAGAAGACCCUAUCGAGCUUAAAAUUAAAUGGGUUUUUAGUUAUUUUAUAUAGCUUAUUUAUUUUGGUUGGGGCGACUAAGGAACAUUUAAAGCUUCUUUUGAUGAAUUAAAAAUAAUUAUUAUUGAUCCGGAAAAGCUGAUUAAAAGAAAUAGUUACCGUAGGGAUAACAGCAUAAUUUUUUUUGAGAGUUCUUAUCGAAAAAGAAGUUUGUGACCUCGAUGUUGGAUUAAGAUUCAAAAAGAUGUAAAGAUCUUUUGGUGUUGGUCUGUUCGACCAUAAAAAUCUU
rnacentral:rRNA from 1 species